CACGCUUUGUCGAUUUGAUUCAAUUCACGCAGAACUAAGCAGGUUGUUCAUUUUAUUUCGUCGUCUACAGAGAGGAGGUAAUCGAGCACGUGAGUUGAGUAAGGAGACUUCUUUCGGAAAAGAUCGGUUUAGUUGAGGGUAUAAAAAAGCCAAUAUGGACGACAUGGAAGACAAAAUACAUCCAUCUUUUUCUGACUUGAUAGAAACGGCCCUUGCUUUUGAAUAUCCUGGAGGACCACUUGAACUCAGUAAAGUUACAUCAGAAGAUGAUUUUGUGAAGCCUUAUACUGGACAUCACUUUACAUUUCGAAUUCCUUAUUCUGGGACAUUUGUUGAAUGGGAAAUCCUUUUUGAUCCCGAGAAUCCAGCCCAGUCACCUGAUUUUGUUUGUGCUGAUGACAUAAAUUGUGAUCCAGAAUCCUACUGUCAAAUUAUGCAGUACUGGGAUUUGCAAAGUCCCGAUUGUUUAGCGAAAUUGAUCAGUCAGUUGAUCCAUAUCUACAAAGAAUACCAAAUUUCUCAAAUUCUGGGCUUCGGAAAAGCAGCUGAAACCUAUCACUCCUUGGUGACAGCAGGCGUCUUGGUUGAAAACAUUGAAGCAUGUUACCUCUCUCGAGAAAGAAAAUUCAACUUUUUGAUCAAGCUGAAUGUAAAUGAUGAAGAUCUCCCUGUAGUCAAAGGGCUCGGAAGCAUUCUAGUAUACGCUGGUCUGCUGUUUUCUUUGGGAAUGGAUGGAAAAAUUCUAACCCAUUCACUAGUCAUUUCUCCCUACCUUGAACACCUCCUUGGCUCUCAACUGCUGGACCAAUUACAGUCGACUUCCUCGUUCAGCCAAAACAUUGACGCCCUCGUCCUUAACGAUUUCAGUUUAUCAUUGUAUCGAAUUCUGAAAAAGGUCAGAGAAAACCAUAAAAGACGCCGUGAUACUGUAUCUACCCUACUCAGUCUCUAUCCAACUAACGUUGUCUUCUACGACGAGGAACUGUACAGCCAUAUUAUCCUACUCUUCAAGUUAGAUGAUGCUCGCUACGUAACCCGCCUGGAAUUGAAUGACGAGGCUAAAUUUAUUUUCUUUGCCAUGGACUGUCCCGUCAAAAUCGCAAAAGAAGAAACCAUUCCCUACACAGAAACUGAGACGCUCUCCUUUGCACACAAACCUUCCACCGCUGAGUUUUCCAAGUACCUCCACAAAACGCUUUGUUCUAAAUUGAAACUGUUUGUCAACAGAGCCCUGAAAAGUGUUACACCAGCUUAAUUUUUUAGCUUCGACCUAACCGAAUUAUCAUCUUCAAUCAAUAUGGUUGCAUUUUGAACGUAGACUGUGCUAUUAGGAAAUCGAGCACCGGUUGCCAUGUCCCUCUUGCUGGUCUUAUUGCGAUUUCUUCUAUCGUGAAGCAUUCCUAACACGAAAUGUAACAUGAAAAAAACAAAAAACAAAAAACAAAAAAAAAACAAACAAAAAUGUGAAAUCGAUUGACCAAAUGUGUCGGUUAAAAAACGUCACCGAGGUGAAAUCGACCCAACAGCAGCCCUGUCAGUUCACAAUACCGAGUUGGUUUGUAAUAAGUAGUCUUGAUGGCCAAUUCGGAAAGAAAAAUUAGUGGAAAUUAGUGGAAGGAUGGCGACGAAACCGGAAGGGGUAAACGUCAUCUUGGGCGGAGAACCAGCAUCUUCCCAAGCGCAGCCGACAGAUGUUCGACUCGAAUUCCUCUCACACGUCAUUCAGAAAUCUUUGCGUUUAAAGGCCGAUCGUUGGAUCAAAGUGUUGACUGUCGAAGAAUACCGCAAGAUUAUUCAAGAAUUUCUCGAAAAUGCCGAACCUCCUCUCCUCAUCUUUACGCAGAGCGGACCAGGUAUUUUGGCUGUUAGCAAUGCUCCACU